CAGUAGUAAGGAAUAUUGGACAAUGGACGCAAGUCUGAACCAGCUAUGCCGCGUGAAGGAUGAAGGCCCUCUGGAUUGUAAACUGUCUUUUAUCUGGAACGAAACAACGGCUCUUUCUAGAUCACUUGACGGUACCAGUAUGAAUAAGCAUCCGGCUAACUCCGUGCCAGCAGCCGCGGUAAUACGAAGGAUGCAAGCGUUAUCCGGAUUCACUGGGUUUAAAGGGUGCGUAGGCGGGCAGGUAAGUCAGUGGUGAAAUCCCGGAGCUCAACUCCGGAACUGCCAUUGAUACUGUCUGUCUUGAAUACUCGUGGAGGUGAGCGGAAUAUGUCAUGUAGCGGUGAAAUGCUUAGAUAUGACAUAGAAACACCCUAUUGCGAAGGCAGCUUACUACGCUUAUAAUUGGACGCUGAGGCACGAAAGCGUGGGGAUCAAACGAGGGAUUAGAUUACCCCUGGGUAGUCCACGCCCUAAACGAUGGAUACUAGAC
rnacentral:rRNA from 1 species